AAAUAUUAUCAUAUCAUAAAUAAUAUUUAGAAUACAUUUGGUGGUAUCUUUCGCGCGCGGCACUCUAUUUGAGGGGCACCGGCAGAACGGGCACGGCCGUUAGGGGGACGGCAAGCGUGAGAGCUUGGGCGAACUUAUCAGAGAGGUCGACGUCGCCGGAACUCCUCCGGCUCCGCCCACACCUCCGGGUCCCGCCCGAUCGCCCACACGUUCACCAUCACCCGCGCCUCGCUCGGCACCGCGAACCCCGCCACCUCCACGAAGCCAACUCCCGUCUCCGUCUCGGACGGUUUGCGCGGGAGCAGCAGCGGGCCCACCGGGUGCAGCCGCAUCGUCUCCUUCAUCACCGCUUGCAGAAACGGGAGACGCGCAACGUCGGAUUCCUCGAAUUCUUCCUUCGGCCCCAGCGUCUCCUGUAGCUCGGCGCGCGCCUUCGCGAGCACCGCAGGGUUGCGGAGCAGCUCCGCCAUCGCCCACUCCACCGUCUUCGAGCUUGUGUCGCUCCCCGCCGCAAAGAAGUCCUAAAUCAAUGCAACUCUCGACGGUAUUAAAAGCUUCCGGUAGAGCAGAAAGCCCUACGAGGAAACUGAAACUCCAUAGAGGCUGAUACUGUGAGAGCGAAAAUUAUUAGGAAUAGCGUAGCUAUAAAUUAUUUUACUAAUUUUUUUAUUUUCAUCCUCCGGACUAACUAAUAGAUUUUUUUUUUCCAUAUAAAUUUUAAAUUAUCUCUGUGGUUUAGUUUAUUUUUGAAUAAACUUUAAAUACCACCUCUAUAGUUUUAUACUUUCUCACUUUAUAACUUGUGGUUUAAAAUAUAUCAAGUUAGUGUCUCGUGGUUUCAUUUUUAUUUUUUCGCCAGUUUUUUCGUUAAUAUUUCGUUAAAUUAUAUAAAAAAACUUAAGAUACCCCACGUAGGUUUAUCGAAUAUUCACUUUAGUACCCUUUAGUUUUAAUUUUGUUGCUGAUUUAACGAAAAAAAUUAGUGGAAUCAAUAAUAAAAAGUUAAAAUAAAACCACAAGUCACAAAUUGAUACACUUUAAACUAUAGGGUACUAAAGUAAGAAAGUGUGAAACCACAGGGGUGGCAUUUGAAGUUUUUUCUUUAUUUUUUCUUUCUUAAUUUGUAGUUUUAAGAAUUUCACUUUUAUCUCCUUUUAAUUUAAUUUAAUCUUUUAUUUUAUAAAAAAUAGGGUACUAAAGUAAGAAAGUGUGAAACCACAGGGGUGGCAUUUGAAGUUUUUUCUUUAUUUUUUCUUUCUUAAUUUGUAGUUUUAAGAAUUUCACUUUUAUCUCCUUUUAAUUUAAUUUAAUCUUUUAUUUUANGCAUAUUUUUUCUUUCUCAAUUUGUAGUUUUAAGAAUUUCACUUUUAUCUCCUUUUAAUUUAAUUUAAUCUUUUAUUUUAUAAAAAAUAUUAUAUGAAAUAGUAUGACAAAAUAAAAAUUUUAAACAAACUAUUGGAUGACAAAAUAAAAAAUAUGCUAAAUUAAAAGAGUAAAGUAUAACUUUUUUAAUCGUGUGAUAACAAAAUAAAAAUAAGCUAAGCUAUAGAGGAAUAAAAAAAAUUUGAAAUAGAAUGAUAAAGUAAAAAUAAGCUAUUUCACUAGAAAGACAAUUUAAAAUUUACUUAUUUAUAUUAAUUUAUUAUCUAGUUUAUUUAUUUUUUAUUUAUAAACUUAUGAAUUAAAAAUUACAAAAACUUCUCCGUCUUUCAUGGAAGAGUGGGGUCCACCACAUCCUAUUUGUCGUGUGGGGGUCUACCCCUCUCUCUCUCUCUCUCUCUCUCUUUUUCUUAUUUUUUUCUGCACUCUAUCAUCGGCAGUCCCACUCACACUUCCUCAUCUUUUUUAUUUUUUGAUAAUACAUUUCUUACCCUUCCUCACUUCACCUUCUUCUAUCAAUCACACACACACAGGAAAGAGAGAGAGAGAGAGAAAGAGAGAGAGAGAGAGAGAUAUCACUUUUUUCUAUCAAUCAGAGAGAGAGAGAGAGAGAGAGAGAAUUGGAGGAAAAAAAAAUUUCCAAACACGAAACACUCCUCUUCCUUCUCCUCUCGAUCCUCUUCUCCCUCACCCCUUCUCACUACUGUGAAGAAGGAGAAAUGGAAGCCCUAAUAGUGGAUCGAAUCUUGUAAAACAACCGUUGCACUCUAAAAGCUUAAACUGUUAGAAAACGGUAUUUAAACAUUUUUAUAUUUAACACUCCCCCUCACGUUUGGGCUCGAGACUAUUUAAUCGGCUCAUGACGUGGGCUUGAAUUAAAUGGGAGAAAAUUAAUAUGUUAGGAGCCUGGCGUGACUCGAACUCAAGACCUCCUGCUCUGAUACCAUGUAAAACAACCGUUGCAGUCUAAAAGUUUAAGCUAUUAGAGAACGGUGUUUAAACAUUUUUAUAUUUAACAAAUCCACAUAAGCCUCCACCCCUCCGUGCACCGGAACACCAUUUUCCUUUGCAAGUGCGUCUAUGCCGAGUUUCCCUCCGAGGUCCUCACUUCUUAUCCCCUAUUUUUCAAUUUUUUUUUUUUUGUUUGUGCGUUGUUGUUAUUUUUUUGGAGCAACUGAGAUGAUGUUUUGGAGUAUCUAGAGCUAAUUCCUUUGGUAGAUCGAGCGGCAGAAGCAAUUACUGUAUUUGUUCUUCCAAUAGCUAAAAUCACUUUUAUAUUUCCAGAAGCGUUUAGGCGUACCUUUAUUCUCUUCAUAGUAAUGGUUUUUUUUUUUUAUUUCACCAAAAAGAAGGUUGUGAUUGAAAACGGCUGUUUGUGACCUCAGAGAAAACAAUUAAGAUAUGAUUAGAAGGUAAUUGAUUGAGAACUACAUACCGUGAGGAGAGUUAUGAUCUCUCGCCGUUGAAGCUUGGAUUGGGAGUGCAGCUCUAGAAGGGAGUCCAAGAAAUCACCCUUCUUCUCUGCGCCGGAGUUCAUUUCGGCCAAGCGGUGGUCAAAUAUGUCGCCGAAGAACUCGUAGAACCUUCUAAGGUAGCUGGCAUUGACGCGGCGCCGGCCUUGUAGGUCGAGCAAUCGGAAAAAGGGAAAGAAGUCCGAGAAGUUCAGCCUCCCGAUCUCCUCGAUGAAGCUCGAGACCAGCCGCUUGAAUUCUUGGUUAGAUGCCUCUUCGGCCGAUCUGAGGUCCACCACAUCCUCCGAGAAGAAGAUGUUGGAGAUGAUGUUGAGCACCGCAUUGAAUACCACAUUGCGAAUCCUAUUAGUACAACAACAUAUUUCUCAAUGCUCAAACUUGAACAAUAUUAAUAAAUUAUUUUAUAUAGUAUCGUAAUGGAAAAUUCUAAAUUAAAAUUUUAUGAGACCACUUAAAUUUAAAAUAUUUGUCUGGCUAGUAUUGAAACGUAAGAAACUCACGGUAGACAAUCUUCGAAAAAGAUGUUGGACUAGAGAGCAGAAUUGUAUACUCUUCAUAAAAAAGGAAGAGAUGAUUCAUCAUUUUUUCGCCGCAUGAGAAGUGGCCAAAAUUUUAUUAGAAUGCUUGAUGUCAAAUAAGAAGAGAAUACACUGUAGUACUUCAGGUUACAUUCUUUGGGAGACGAGUCGACUUAGAGGAGGCUCAAUAAGGUAGAAGGAAAUAGCGACAAAUGCUUGCAUUUGGUGGGUUAUCUGGCUCGAACAGAAUAGACGUAUUUUCCAAAAGAAAAAGCACUUGCAAAAUCAGAUAUUAGCCGACGUCCGUAUGGCUCGAAAUCAGUGUGCUAAACUUCGGGUAUUAUAACACCUUCUCUUACGAGUCUCCAACGGUGCGUCUAAUUUCGUCGUUUUUCUUGUCUUGUAUAAAGGAUCUAUACUCCUCUCCUUUUCCUUUUUUUCUUUCUUUGUGUUUUUCUUUUUCUACUCCUUUCCUAGAGGCCUGGUUGUCUCAUUGUGUAAUUGAAUGAAGCGGUAGCAUGUUACCAAUUUUUCAAAAAAAAUUUAUGAGACGUCUGCUCUUAUUUAAUAUUUACUCUCUAUUUUUUAUACAAAUUUGCAAUUUGGUUCUUUUAAAAAAAUUUUCAAGUCAAUUAAAUAUAAAAUAAUUAAGUAUAAUUUUCUAUGGCUGCGUAUAAUUGUUUAUUCCAAGAACAGAUAAAUUUGUAUCCGAUUAUAUCAGUUUAUUUUAGGAAUGAGGGUGGAACAGCUGUUCUAAAAUUAUAUCAGAUUAUACCAGUUUAUUUCAGACAUAAAAGAAAAACUAUUAUUUUUGAAUACCAAAAUUAAUGUUCAGAACAAAAGGGGAAAUAAGUUUCCGAAUAAAAAGCUAGCUAAAAGUUUACACUCACAUAAGAUUCCCUGAAACUAUAGAACUAGAUUGAAUCGAAAGUACGAAUUCACUAAAAAAAAUUUUUGGAAAGAUUCGUUAGGGUUCAUAAAAUAACUCAAAGUAUAAAUUAAUAGAAUAUUAUGAUUUUAGACAACAACGAUAGUUUCACUUAAUUACCUGACGGGCUGUCCGGCGCGGCAACGGAGGUUUGCGACGAGCUCGCGGGCCGGGCGCUCGCGCACGGCGCGCGUGGCGUCGAGGCUGCGGGGGAAGAAGAUGUGGGUGGUGAUGACGGCGCGGAGGUGCUUGCGCAGGGGGUCGCCCGUGGGGAGCCAUAGGGUGGAGGUCUCGUGAUGGCCGAGGGCGCGCAUGGCGUCGGGGACCCAGCGCCCCGAGAGGGCCUGGUCCUUCUUCUGAAGGACCUCGCGCGCCGCGGCGGGGGAGGAGACCACCACGGUGGUGGUGAGGCCGAGCCUCACGGACAUGACCGGCCCGUAGACCCGCGCCAGGCGCGCGAGGGAGCGGUGCGGCUGCGCGCCCACGUCGAGGAUGUUGCCGAUGAUCGGUAGCGGCGUCGGCCCCGGGGGGAGGGGGAGGGGGAGUGCUCCGGUUUUCCCCGCUCCCGGGCUUAGCUUCCGCUUGACAAGGUAGAGAAAUGAGAGGAUGAGUGAGAUCCAAAGAAAGGAAAUUGUGAACUCCAUUUUUCCGCGGAGAUGGUACAUGGAUAUGGUAUGUAGAGCAGGUUAUCUUUAUAUAUAGCUCUGUUUCCAGGGAGGAAGAGUGAUAAUUUAGUUUAAUCUCGCUGAAGUGGCAAAAUGCAAAGCGAAAGAGGGACAUCAAACCAAUCAGAUCAAAAAUAUAUAGUAUAAAGAAAGUGAUGUCCUAACUUCCAUAUAUAUCAUACACUAGUAAAAUACCCGCGCGAUGCUGCGGAUAUAAAAAUAUUUUUAUAAUAAAUUUUAAUUUUUUUAAUAUUUUUAUAUAGUUUUAUAAAUCUAAUUAUUAAUUAAAUAAAAGUUAUAUAAAAAUAAUUUAAUAGUUAAAUCUAUUUAAAUAAAAGUCAUUAAAAUUGGUAUAUGCGCAAAGUAAUUUAUACAAUAGUUUAUUUUAUAAAAAAUUAUAUGAAAAGGGAAUUGCAGAUAAUUCUAUCGGCAAAAUAAUUUAAAAAUAAAUCAAUAAGUAGAAGGAAAAAAAAAUUGCAGAAGUAAUUGUUUAAUAAAAUUAAUUUUAUAUACAACAUACACUAUAUUUUAAAAAUUUUACUCCUGAAACUUAAUUCCGUAUUUUUUUUAUACAAUGAAAUUUUAUGUGAUUUAAAUUUCAUCUAUCAAAUUAGAUUUUAUUAUGCGAUUUAUUAUGUGUAUUUUUAAUAAAAUUAUUAUUAUAUUGUAUAAAACUAUUAUUAAUAAAUUUAAUUGAUUAAUUAAUUUCAUAGAGUUUAGAGAUUUAAAUUUAAACUUUGAAGCUUAAAUUUAGCAAAUAAAUAAUAUAAGCUGAAAAAUAAAUUUAAAUUAAUAGUAACAUAGUAAAAUUAGAUAAAUUGCAAACUUUAAAAAUUUUGAAGUUUACAAAAUGCUUAAAAUUUAGAAAUAAAUAUGUAUUGAGUAAGAAUUUAGAAUUUAAAAUUUAAAAUAAAAAAAUAUAAAAAUUAGAAAUUUAAAACUUUAAAAUUUGGAAGUAAUCAACCAAUUUUAUACUUUGAUAAAAAAAAUUUUUAAAACUUUAUAUAUAUGUAUAUAUAAAUAAAUAGAAGGAAAAUAAAAUGAAGAGAUAUUGUUUAAUAAAUUAAUAUAAUAUACAACGUUACACUAUAUUUUUAAAAUUUGUUACUCCUGAACUUAAAUCCGGUAUUUUUUUAUACAUGAAAUCUUUAUGUGAUUUUAAUUGCUAUCUAUAAGGAUUAUGAUUUUAUUAUUGCGGUAUAUGGUGUUUUUGAAAAAAUUAAAGAUAUGGAAUAUAUACUAUAUUAAUUAAUAAUAAUUAAUUAAUAGGAUGAGGUAAAAAUGUUGAAGCUUAAAUUAAGAAAUAAAAAAUAGUAAAAAAUAAAUAUAUAAAAAAAAUUUAAAGAAAAUUAAAACAUAAAAUUUUGAGUUUUAAAAAGCUUAAAUUUAGAAAUGGUAUAUAAUAAGUAGAGAAGGAAUUAAAAUUAAAUUAAAAAAUAUAAAAUUAGAAUUUAAAACUUUAAAAUUUGAAGUAUCAAAUUUUUAUUUUUGAUAAAAAUUAUUUAAUAAUAUAUAUAUAUUAUAUUAAUUAUUAUAUUUUAUAUAGGAAGAGAGAAGGGGGUUUGGAGGCACGUUUGCACCGGUCCCUCAAACUCCUUUAUGUAGUUAGAUUAGAUAGAUUGUGAGCAGAGGAAAAAUGUCGAAUUAAGCACCUUCCAUAAGUGUUAUGCACGGUGUGACGUGUGCACUGAGUGACACAUGUACGAAGGAAACGGAGAAACAUCCUAUUUAUGAAGUGGUAAUGAGAAUUCAAUAUAAUGGGCUGUUUAGUUCCCAUUUAUUCAUUGUUGCUGAAUUAAUUUUAACUUAAAGAAUUGAUUUUGAUUUACAGUUACAUGUAACAUUGGGCUGGUCCAAAAAAAAAUUGUAAUUUUUCUGAGGUAAUUUUAUGAAAUCACUAGACAAAAUAUUUUUACUGCUUCAAAAUAAUAUUUUUUUUUUCAAAUUUUAUUUUAAAAUUUAAAUUAAAAUUAAAUUCGACUUUAAAAUUUAAAUUUUUAAUUUAAAAAAUAAACCAAAAUUUAAAAUUGUUAUUUGAAUUUAAAAGAUAAAGUUAAAAUUAAAAAUUUUAAAUUUUAAAUUAAAAAUCUGAACCUAAAAUGUGAUUUUUUUGAGAGAGAUAGGAAGUAUGGUUACCCACUUUGGACUUAAUUUAGAAAUAAAUUUUGCUAAAAUUUGAAAAUUUACAAAUUAAAACUAACCUCUAAAUUUAAAUUAAAAUUAAAAGUUUCAAACAUUUAAAUUUUAAAAUUUAAAAUUUUAAAAUUUAAGAUUUAAAAUUAUGAAAUUUAAAAUUUAAAUUAUAAAAUAACAAAUUUUGAAAUUCCACAAUUUAAAAUUUAAAAUUUAAAUUCAAAAUUCAAAAUUUAAAUAAAAUAUUGAAAUUGAAAAUUAAAAAUUGCCAAUUAAAGUUUUAUUUAAAAUUUAAAAGUUAAAAUUUAAAAUUUAAAAUUUAAACUUCUUUGGCUCUCUAAGUAUCAGUCUAUUUACAAUAAGAAAUACUCAAGUGUACCUCACUUUUGGGCAACCUAUUAUAUUGUUAAUGUGUUGGCCUACAGAUAUAGUCAUAUAGUGGGUUUAAAGUUUAGUGUUUAAAAUAUAAUCAUAUUGCUUAAGAUUUAACUAGUUUAGAGAGCCAGGCGAUGCGACAGAUAGGCAUUAUUACAAAUAUAUUUUUUUGUUACCAAAUAGUUUUGAAAUAAAUUCAAAAAAAAAAUAGAGGCAAUUUUCAAUUAGAAUUCAGUGUAAAACUUGAAGAGGAGACGAUUUUCGCCAUACAAAAUUCAAUAUAAGUAAAUAUGACAAAAAAGGGCUUCCAUCUGUGAAAAUGAAUCAAUCAAUUCACCAAUUAUACCAAAAAGAUCCAUAUGAAGUUAGAUUCAACCGACUACUUACAACUUAAUUGACUGAAAUUAGUUGAUUGAAAUUAUAGGAACAUUAAUUUGUGAUAUAAUUUGAACUUGAGCCAAAGAGAUUGAUAGCCAGAUUUUCAUUUCGAACAUAAUCGAAUCGCCCUAACAUAAAUUCCACCAUGGAGGUGGAAAAUAAUUUUGAUUUCGAAAGAGCGAAGAAUAAAAACUUUUUUCUGCACUACUGAUUAUUUAAAUAUCAAUCUUUAAAUGUCUGCAAAGUGCAUAAUAUCUGUUGAAAUCUUAGUUGUAAUAAUUUAACCUCUCAUUCCUUCUUUGCAGGGAAGUAUUUUUCUAGAAUUUACCAAAUUGUGCAAAGAUCUUACUGUCAUACUUAUUAUUGGAUUUGUCUUACUGCAAGUCUUGCCUUCAGCUGUCGUUUAUUUUGCACUUAUUCAUGCAAGGCAAAGUUUACUAUUUAAGAUGGAAACAUAGUUUAAAUGUUAAAUCUAUUUAUUUUUAAUAAUGGCUAAUAAAUAUCUCCCUAUGUUGUUUGUGCUCCUAAAUACCUUUUCUUAGGUGGGUUGAGGUAGUUUCUAUCAGAUAGAGUUGUUCUGCAGGAAUGGCCUCCAGAAAUAUCUGGACUGCAGGUCAGCUAUAGCUUAUAAAGGAUCUUUUAUUUAUUGAAUUUCUCUUAGACUAGCUCAUUUAACUUGCUUCAUUGUGUUAGAAUUUUAGCUGUUAUUGUUCCUUUUUCUGGCUUUUGCAUGUUUAAACUAUGAUAUGUUUUUAUUUUCUUUAAUUUUCAGAAAAUAUUACUCGAUAUUUUUAAGCUAACUGGUCAGCAUACGGGUAGUUUUUGGUUAGCUUAUAACCUUAGACUCAAAAGUCUUUGCAGCAAACAGAUUUUAAUUGUUGCAGAAAUGAUAAGAAAAGUGGAGAUUAGAAUUAGUGCUGUUGGUUAGGUUAUCUUUUGUAAAAGUGCUAACCUUGCAACCAUGGGUUCAACCUGCAACCGUGGGUUCAAAUCUCCCUUGGAGCAAAAAUUUUGCCUUUUUUGAAAUCGUACACUCAAUAUAAUUUUUACUUUAGCAAAAUCUGUAGGAGGAAUUCCGGUCGUACCUUAGAGUGGUAUUUUCGAUUAAUCCGGCACGAAGGCACAGAAAAAUUCAAUUGUUAUUAAAAUCUAACUAAUUUGUGAUGAUAAUUAAAUAAAUCAACUUACAAAUGAUUGCUAAAUUUCAAAAAAGAAAAUUAUGGAAGAAAAAUAUCAAACAAUUGAUCCGGAAGCGUACGAGACACUGCUCUAAGGCGUAUUUCCGUCCUUCGUGCGGGAUUAACCGAAAACACCGUCCCAAGAUAUGAUCGGAAUUUCUCCUCCUAUGUACACGAACGCGGGAGAGAUUGACGGAGUUUCUUUCAACACUCAGCGAUAAAGAUAUCAAAUAAAAUAAACUUAAAAUUAAAAUAAAAAAUUCUUGUCUCUUUUUCUUCCCUCUACUAUGUUCAUCUCUGUGAACAGUACAUAAAACAUGGCUCUCUGUCAUGUGUUCUACAAACUCAUGGACAGUGGAGUCCACUCUAUAAAAGCAGAGGUGAAGAAGAAAAAAAACAUUGCACAACGUUCCACUGUGGAACGUCUGCGCCCACUUCGCGUUCGCGCGCGAGCAAGCGUGAGCAAAUCUUAACAAACGCGCAUGAACAUAAAAAUAAAUAAAAAUAAUAAAUUAAAUAAUAAAAAAGAAUAAAAUAAUUAAUGAAUUAAAAAUAAUAAUUAUUAAAAAAUUUUGAAUUUUUCAUCAACAAAAUCAUAAUUUACCUAUGAAUCAGCAAAAAAAUAAAAUAAAAUAAAAUACCACGCAUGAACUGCAUGCUUCCUAUUAUGGUGAAGUGGGAAUUUGGUAAUUGAGAAGAGUAUACUCAAACCCCACCUAUCAUUUGAUACAUUUAUUAAAUUCUAAUGGGGCUCUCAGGGUUAAUUCAUGAGAAGGGAGGUGCAAAUUUGAUUAAAGAGUCUCUACAGAUGUGUCUUGCAGACCCAAUGUCCUUCAUAUAUAAUUGACAAUCACUGAUUCACUGUAGCUUCUUUUUUUUUUUGUCAUGUUUUGAUUUUCUAUGAUAGUGCUAUGUGAAUUUGGCUAUUUCAAAAAAUCCAGUUCAUGCAAACGCACGAUAUUAUAUUAACAAAUUAAAGUUUAAAAACUUAAUUAUAAUUAUUUAAUUACUUUAUCUAUAUAUUGUGAUUUAAUCUUUUACACUAUUUGUAUAAUUAUUUACUGUUUUUCAAUUUAGGCACCGGUAAAUAUCUGAAGGUCUUGGACCUUUGAACUUUUUUUUUAUUUCCUGUAGCGAAUAAUUUUACCAAAUCUUUUGAAGAAAUAUUUUUAUGUAGGAUCUUGCAAAUGAGAUUUUCAAGUUAUUCACAGCAACACAAAUUGGAAAAGUCUUCUUCAUGACCAAUGAUUUGCAGGUUUGUAUUGUCUCAAGAAGUUGGUAGUAAUCAUUUAGGAUUUAUUGCGGCAAUUACAUUUCGAUCUAACUAUUCCUCGCAAAACUACUACCGCGACCGUUUACUUGCAUAUUUUUUUUCGUAAAUACAACAUUAGCAUCCAAUAGCUUUCUUUUCAGGAAAUAUAAGUCUGCAAUUGUAUAUAAAGCUAGAUGAUAAGCAAAACCCGAUUGUAUAGAUUACAAACACAAUCCAUCACCCUCAAAUCAUUCAAUAACAUGAAUUUAAGUUUAAGUUUAAGUUUAAGUUUAAGUUUAUGAGAAAUAAUUAAAAAAGCAUGAUCAAUACCAAACAAGAUAUUAGUUACCCAUAGAGAGUGUCCAAUAUAAAGCUCGAUUUGACUCACUAAUAAUAUUUUAGAGGUGGGUGGGGUUUACCUUCUAUAGCAUUAUAUAAUUUUUUAAAUAAAUUUCGAAACACAUUAAUUUUCUCAUUUAUCACAUUUAGAUUGUGCUAUCAUAUUUAUUUUCGUUUGAUUGUGGGACAAAGUAACGAAUAAUUGGUACUGUUUACUCAAAUUUUAUCUUUAGCCUGAAAAUGACUUUGCACCAUUCAAAUCUUGGAAUCUUUGAUUGUGUUUGAUUUGGCAAAGUAUCUACUACUGAAUGGUCGUUGUUAUUGCAGACCAAUAAUCACACAAUCAUUUUGAUACAGACAUCUCAAAAUAGGACAACCAGAACAUUCAUGAAUUAUAGUUUAAUUAGUCAAACCAUGAAUAGUACGUAUAUUCAUUAUUUACACAACAACUCAUUUGCAAUUUUAAAAUAUAUUUUCAAUUGAUUUUUUAUAUUAUAAAGGACUCAUUAAAAUACUUAUAUUAAAUCAUUUGGCAUACUAUCCUUGACUAGGAUAUAAUUUUACUGUACUAGAAUUUAGUAACUUUGUCUUUUUUCUUUAUAUACAGCGUCUUUUUCCUAUUCAUUGAAAGCAUCGAUUGUUCUUUAUUUUUUCUUCUCUUUGAAAACAUUGAUAGCUCUUGAUUUUUCUUCUAUCUCUUGCAGUGCGUAGUGUUUGUACUGUUGAACAAAUAAUGGGAUUGCCUUAGAUCUAAUUACUAUAAUAUUUAUUUGGUCAUUGAGACCUGACUAAUACAUUGGCUACAUGGUUAGAUACUUAUUUAUUUCAUACUUGUCAGCUAUUGUAUUAUAUUUGUCUCUUCAUAUGUGUUAAAAAACAUAGGCCAAUUUGUAUAAAAAAUUUAUUAGGUUUGAGAUUUUGCAAAAAUAAAUCGUCUUUUUAGAUUUUGCAAAUUCGAAAUGAAUUUUCAAAAAACUGACCAAAAUACCCUUAUUCGCUUUUCUCUCAUUCUUUUUCUUCUUUCACUCAGAAGAGGGCGGUGGAGGCGGAGGUGGAGGAGAGGCAGAGGCUGCCCGCCUCGCCUCUGUCUCACGUGCCCUCGCUCUCGUCCUCGGCCUCGCCCUCGCCCGCACACCCUACCUUCGCCUUCCUCGCCUCCCCUCCUGCCGAGGCCACGUCUCGACCUUCUUCUUUUUUUUCUCUCUCUNUCUUUUUUUUUUUUUCUCUCUCUCUCCGACCUUCCUCCACCGCCUUCCCGGCUCUUUAAAAUAGGAAAGAGGGUAGCGUUAUGUCCUCUUCCUCACCUUUGUUUUCUCUUUUUUUUUUUUUUUCUCUUCAACCCUUCUCUACCGCCUCCGCAACCCUUCACGACGAUAACGAAGGCAAUGCCGCAACCUCUUCCUCCACCUUCGCCGGUGUAGGCACCGACAUCGGUGUCGGAGAAGGAUGACUCGGAGCAAGUGCGGGUGAGAGCUACCCGAAAAAAAUAAUUUGUAGAAAAUAAAAAAUAAAAAGAAUAAAAAAUAAAAUAUAAAGAAAAAUAAUUUUUUCUACAAAAAAAAGAAUAACAAAAGAGAAAAGAAAAAGAUGAUGAAUUUGCACUAUUUCAAGGAAUGUUGCAUUAUUUUUACUCUCUUUAAGAGAAAAAAUAUUUUUUGGAUGAAAAUUACACUCUUUGAAUAAAAAUUAUACUAUUAGGACAAAAAUUACACUAUUUAGCCAGAAAUAGGAGAAGGAGAAGGAGGAGAAAUAGUGCAAUUUUCGGCCAAAUAGUACAAUUUUCUAUCAAAGAGUGAAACUUUCGUUCAUAGAGUGCAAUUUUAUCUAAAAAAAGUAUAUUUUUUCUCUCAAAAAGUGUAAAUUUUUUAAAAAAUAGUGCAACGUUUUUAUGAAAUAAUGCAACAUUCUUUUGAAAUAGUACAAAUUCAUCAUCUUCUGCUUUUCUCUUUGAUUUUUUAUUUUUCUUGUAGAAAAAACUAUUUUUCUUUAUAUUUUAUUCUUUAUUCUUUAUAUUUUUUAUUUUCUGCAUAUUUUUUCCUCAGCUCUGUUCUUACCUGCACUUGCUCUGAGUCCUCCUUCUUCGGCAUCGAUGUCGGUGCCUACGCCGGUGAAGGUCGAGGAACAGAAUACUGCACGGUCCUCGUUAUCGUCGUGGAGAGUCGUAGAGGUGGUAGAUGAGGGUCGAAGAAAAAAAAAAGACCGAGGAGGAGGACGUGAUACUACCUUCUUUACUGUUGUAAAGAGCCGAAGAGGCAGUUGAAGAGUGUUGGAAAGGAAAAAAAAAAGAGUCGAGAUGCGACCUCGAUGGGGUCGAAGGCGAGAAAGGCGAAGGGAGGGUGCACAGGCAAGGCGAGGGCGUGCGGGACCGAGAUGAAGCAGAGCGCAUCCGCCUCCGCCUCCGCCUCUGCACCCUCUUCGGAGAAAAAGAAAAAAAAGGAACGCGAGUAAAAAAGAAAUAAGUGUAUUUUGGUUAGUUUUUUAAAAAUUCGGUCUGGAUCUGUAAAAUCCAAAAAAACGGCCUACUUUUGCAAAAGCUCAAAACUAAUGAAUUUUUUUAUACAAAUUGGCAAAAUAUAUAUAUGUGUACGCACAUUGAUAGUGAAUAAAUUAAGAAAGCAUAUACACAAAUUGGCAGGUAAACAAAAGUAAAUAUAUAUAGAAGCAUUACGGAUUGGAGAACUUAAAACAAUUAGGGACAAAUGACGGCAAAUCAACCGCAGAAAAUUAAGAAAUUCAUGAUUAAUAGAGAUCAAUAUCAACAUAAAAUUUAUUAUAUGAUAAAUAAAUCAUAGCAAACAAACAAAGCAACAAAUUCAAAUCAAACCUGUCGAAUAUGAUUAACCAUUACAGCCAAGUGCAGACAAUUUUCUGAGACAAAAUACAUAGUAUUCACUAUUUUUAGGGGAAAACAAUGCGGUAAGUAGGCAAACUAAUUAAAAUUGCAAAAAAAAUGAAAGGCUCACAUCAUGUCCAGUUAAAAGAGGCGGCACAGGUAUUGCCUGUUUGAGCCUUUCAUUCGCAAUCUGCCGAUAAAUCCCAACUUAGUUUCAGAUAAAAGAUUGACAAAGGUAGUAAUUAUAAAUUUUACAUUUACAAUGUUUGUUCCUAUAGAAAAUGCUGGAUUCUGAUACGGCUUUGAAAAAAUGAAUAGAUAAGUAAAUAAUUAAAUUUUAGGGAUGUUCGAAGAAUUGUGAGUUCAAUGAUUAGCAUAAAGUUGGAUAAAUAAAACUAUUGAUAUCUUCCGAAAUAUCUAGAAUAAUAUGAUCGGAAGUUGACAUAUAAGAAAAAGAAGAGGAAAUAAAGAAUCUUACCCAAGGGUGUGCGGCGGCAUAAUCUUCGAUAUGCUCGACAUGUAAUCGAGUCAACCAUAAUCCAAAUAAAACAUCCGGAAUAGAGUACAUUUGCUGCAUAGAAAAAAUUGAUGAAUGAUCUAUUAUAUAGCCAACAAAAAUAAUGGAAAGGAUGUAAAACAAUUCUUCGGAUUCAAUGAAUAUAGAAAUCCGUUGCGGCGUAAGAUCGGAGGAGCUGAGAAGACAAUAAAUUAGAACCCUUUUUUUGGCAAGAGAAGGAUAUGGAAACGAAGCGCCGCAAUCCAUAACAACAGGGACGGAAGAAGGAUCGAACCAAGUCGGAGUGACAAAUCUAGGGCGACGAACCAAGGUCUAAGGAUGCAUGAACCGGUUUGAUCAAUAAGAAAAUAGACUUAUUCAAUGGAAGAAAAUUAGUAGCCGAUUUAUCUUUCCAUGUGUGAACCAAAAAUAAAUGAGUAGAUAGAAACUGAUAGGUGGGGUCGAAGGACCUAUAAUCUAUAAACUUAAAUUUAAGUGACAAUUAUGUCUCACAUUAGCCCAGAUUAACCAAAUGGUGCCACGUGGACAAAGAUUAUAGGAUUUAAUAUAGGUUUAUAGACGAUUCAAUGGAAGAAAAUUAAUGGCCGGUUUAUCUUCCCAUGAGUGAACCGAAAAUACAUGAGUAGAUAAAAACUGAUAGGUGGGGUCGAAGGACCUAUAAUCUAUAAACUUAAAUUUAAGUGAUAGGUAUGUCCCACAUUAGCCCGGAUUAACCAAAUGUUGCCACGUGAAUGAAGAUUAUAGGAUUUAAUAUAGGUUUAUAGACGAUUCAAUGGAAGAAAAUUAGUGGCCGGUUUAUCUUUCCAUGAGUGAACCGAAAAUAAAUGAGUAGAUAAAAACUGAUAGGUGGGGUCGAAGGACCUAUAAUCUAUAAAAUUAAAUAUAAGUGCUAGGUAUGUCCCACAUUAGCCCGGAUUAACCAAAUGCUGCCACAUAGACAAAGAUUAUAGGAUUUAAUAUAGGUUUAUAGACGAUUCAAUGGAAGGAAAUUAGUGGCCGGUUUAUCUUCCGAUGAGUAAAUCGGAAAUAAAUGACUAUAAACUGAUAGGUGGGGUCAAAGAAUCUAUAAUUUAUAAACUUAAAUUUAAGUGAUAGGUAGGUUCCACAUAAGCCCGGAUUAACCAAAUGCUACCACGUUGGACAAAUAUUAUAGAAUUUAAUAUAGAUUUAUUUAUUUAUUUAUAGAUUUAUAGAUAUAAAUUAUAGAUUAUAGAUGAAAGGAAAUUAGUGGCCGAUUUAUCUUCCCAUGAGUGAACUGGAAAUAAAUGAAUACAUAUAAACUGAUAGGUGGGGUCAAAGGAUCUAUAAUCUAUAAACUUAAAUUUAAGUGAUAGGUAGGUCCCACAUAAGCCUGGAUUUACCAAAUGCUGCACGUGGACAAAGUUUAUGGAAUUUAAUAUAGAUUUAUAGAUUAUAGACGAUUCAAUGGAAGGAAAUUAGUGGCCGGUUUAUCUUCCCAUGAGUGAACCGGAAAUAAAUGAUUAGAUAAAAACUGAUAGGUGGGGUCAAUGGACCUAUAAUCUAUAAAAUUAAAUUUAAGUGACAGGUAGGUCCCACAUAAGUCCGGAUUAACCAAAUGCUGCCAGGUGGACAUAGAUUAUGGGAUUUAAUAUAUCUUUAUGUUUAUAGAUUAUAGAUUAUAGAUAUUGUUUGGUAAUUAAUUAUUAAAAUAUAAUAAUAAUAUCGUCGUAUCAUCUAUCUAUAUCUAUUCUGCCAAAUUAAAAAAAAGUUUGGGAGGUCUCGGAGUAACAUGUGUCCUCCCAACCCUCCCCUAGUCUCUCUUCCUCUCUAUAUAUAAUAUAUAUUUAUAGAAUUUAAAAAUUUUAUUAUGUAAAAUUUUAGAUUUUUUUAUAUCAAAAUUUAAAAAUUUUGAUACUUUCAAAUUUCAAACUUUCAAAUUUUAAAUUUUAUAUUUCAAAUUCUAUAUUUCAAAUUUUAAUUUAUAAUAUUUAUUUUCAUAUUUUAAACUUCAAAAUUUAAAAUUUUAAAUACCUAAACUCUAUAAAAUUAAUUAAUCAAUUUUAUUAAUAAUUAAUUAUAUAUAAUAUAAUUAAUUAAUUUUAUUAAUAAUAUACGUAAUAAAUCAUAUAAUAAAAUUUAAUCUGAUAGACGAAAUUUAAAUCACAUAAAAUAUCGAUAUAUAAAAAAAUACAAAAUUUAAAUUUUAGAAGUAAGAGUUAGGAAAAUGAUGUGGGUGUGUGUGUGUUAUAUAUAAAUAUAUAUAUAAUAUAUAUAUAAUUUAUAUAUAUAUAUAUAUAUAUAUAUAUACAUAUUAUAUAUAAUAUUUUGCUUAUAUAUAUAUUAUUGCACCAUUGUUUUCGAUGAUAGAGCUUCCAAUCGCGACGGUCGUCGUUGACUGAAUCUAUACACUUGAAGUGUUUAGAUCAAUUCAAAUCUUUUUACAUCAUUUACUAAUGAUGUAAAGGUUUAAAAUUUGUAAUUUAAUGGUCCGAGUGGAUGUGUUUCUCGUUAAACAGGCGUAAAAAUAUCAAAUCAAUUAAAUUUUUAUUAUAAAUUUAAGCUUUAAAGCAAGAUCUAUACCUUUGAUUUGAUACAUACUUCUAUCAUCCGUUUAAGUAUUCAUUUCAAGUCGUCAUUUUUGUAUCUACUUCGAUUGUAAGAGAAAAAUACGAAAAUGUAUGAAUUGCAUUCUAACAGCUUCAUGGUAUAGUAUCAUAUUCAACGUGCGAUCGCGAUUUUUGGAUGACUCAUCAUCGAAUAAAUGGAUGGCAAGGAGCCCAUAUGGCUAUAGAUUAAGUAUAGCUCAAAUAUAUAUAGAUAUAUAAUAUAAAUUAAUAUAAGAGAGAGAGAGAGAGAGGAGAGAGAGUAGAAGAGAGAGAGAGAGAGAGAGUUGAGCUAGAAACUAUGCUGGUAGUAAACAGCCGUUUUAGCUACGAUUUGUUCGACUGAUAGAACUUCCAAUUGAAUGAAUCGGCGCUCGUUGAACAUAAUCUAAACCAUUUAACGACUAGAAAUCAAAUUUCACGACAUUUAGAUAUUGUUCUUUUAUCUAUAAUGAACGAAAAAUGAAUGCUAGAAAAUGAAACUCUUAAAAAUUAAUAUGAGUCUUGUAUCAAGACAGAGAGUAAUAGAUCUUGUUUAAAUAGUUUAAAAUGAAUUUAAACAAUUUAUGAUUUGGGAUUAUCUUGUACGCCGUUAAACGAGAAAUUAUCGCCUUUAUGGAUCAUUAAAUUUACAAUUUUGAACCUUAGAUCAAUUAGGCAAAUGAUGUCGAACAAGUUUUGAAAUUUGAUUUUAUAAACACUUCAGUAGUAUAUGAUCAUGUCUAACGAGCGAUCGUUCAAAUUGAAUUCUAUCAUCGAAAUAAAUUGGUAUUAAAACGGCUCGGUUACUACCAUAGAUACUAGCUCAACUCUACUAUAUAUAUAUAAUAUAUUAUAUAUAUAUAUAUAUAUUAUAGGUGCUGGCUAUGUGCUUGUAAAGCACCAAGCUUUGUGCUUGUAAUUUUUUUUUCCGUUAGAUCUACUUUUGAUCAUUUUCAUACCGUUAGAUCAUACUAUUAAACCAACCACCCAUCUCAACCUCUAUUGGGGCCGCACAUUAUCCUAACCACACAUUCCUAAUUCAAAAGCCAAAACUUACAAGCAUCAUAUAAUGGUACUUUUAAAAUUGAGUCAAUUUUCUAUAUAUAUUAUAUAAUAGUAUAUAUAUGAUUAUAUAAUAUAUAUAUAUAAUGAUAAUAUAAUAUAUAGUAAUUACUUUAUUAAACACGGAUUCUCUACCUUUUAUUUUCUUCUUAUUAUUGAUUUUUUAAAAAAUUAUUUUGAUCAAUUUAUCUCAAAUCUUUUUCACAUAAAUCUUUAUAAAAUAAGUUAUUGUAUAAAUUUACAUUCCACAUAUGCCAAUUUUAAUGACUUUUAUUUAAAUAGAUUUAACUAUUAAAUUUUUUUUAUAUAACUUUUAUUUAGUUAAUAAUUAGGCUUAUAAAACUAUAUAAAAAUAUAUAAAAGCAAAAAUUUAUUAUAACAAAAAUUUUAUAUCAGCGAUGUUGCCCGGUACUUCACUAGUAAGCAAUAUUCUAGGGUAUAUUUAGGCACCCGUAGCAGCACUCUUUUUACAGUUUAUCUAAUUUUAGGUCUAAUUUGGGGACGGCCGAUUCAAACUAGGCUUUGCUUGAAUUUUUAUUUUAAAAAAAAAAAUCCAACUCCAGCUCAUCCAUUACCUAAAAAAAUAAAAUUUAGAUAGCAGCAAGUAAGUACUUCGCUAUACGAGUGUCUCUAAUCAAUCAAAUUGUUCUCUGGGCGGCACCGACGGCACGGGGACGGCCGUUAGGGGGACGGCGAGCAUGAGCGUGGCGGCGAACUUAUCAGAGAGGUCGACGUUGACGGGGUGCAUCCCGCACGGCAGCCGCCAAUCGAAUGCGUGGAGGAUGGAGCCGAGCAUGAGCGGCACCACCCGCACGGCGAGCGGCAUCCCGGGGCACGCCCGCCGGCCGGAGCCGAACGGCAGAAACUCCAAGUCCUUCCCCCGGAAGUCCACCUCCCGCCCCCCCAGGAACCGCUCCGGCCGGAACUCCUCCGCCUCCGCCCACACCUCCGGGUCCCGCCCGAUCGCCCACGCAUUCACCAUCACCCGCGCCUCGCUCGGCACCGCGAACCCCGCCACCUCCAGGAACCCGACUUCCUGCUCCGUCUCGGACGGUUUAUGCGGGAGCAUCAGCGGUCCCGCCGGGUGCAGCCGCAUCGUCUCCUUCACCACCGCUUGAAGGAACGGGAGCCGCGCGACGUCGGAUUCCUCGAGUUCCUCCUUCGGUCCCAAAGUCUCCUGUAUCUCGGCGCGCGCCUUCGCGAGGACCGCAGGGUUGUGGAGCAGCUCCGCCAUCGCCCACUCCACCGUGUUCGAGCUGGUGUCGCUCCCCGCCCCAAAGAAGUCCUAUGUCAAUGCAUGCUCAGGAAAAAAAAUUAAGAGUUUCUGCCGAGGCGGGAAACUAAACUACAAAAACUGAAACUCCAAAAGGUACUGAUAUUUUUCCUGACUUUCCAGCCUACUUUUUUUGUUGGUUUAAUUGCCUAUAUAUAUCUUUCAAAGCAUCUAAAAUAUAUUUUUUAUUUUUAUUUUUUAUUUCAAAUCUAUCUUUUUAUAUUUUUUUAGUUAUUUAAAAAUAUUUCUGCUUCUAGUGUCACUUAAUUUAUCUCGAAUUAAAUCCAAAUUAAAUUUCUAACAUAUUUAAAAAAUAGUAGAAAAUAUUUUUUGCUCAUAACUNCUUUUUUGUAUGGAGAACUACAAGAAGAAGUCUACAUGUCAAUUCCUCCUGGACAUCCAAGAGAGGGGGAGCGAGACUUAGUUUGCCGAUUAAGAAAAUCAAUUUACGGAUUAAAGCAAUCUCCAAGAGCAUGGUUUGAAAAAUUAAGUUCAACUAUAACAAGUAUUGGCUUUGUAAGAAAUUCUGCUGAUUAUUCAAUGUUUGUUAAGAAGGAAGGGACGAGCACGACCAUUAUACUUGUUUACGUGGAUGAUAUCAUUCUCACAGGUGAUAAUCAAAAGGUAAUAGAGGAUGUUAAGAAAUGGUUAAAAAUUAUGUUUGAUAUCAAGGACCUUGGCGAAUUGAGAUACUUCCUUGGCAUCGAAGUCGCAAGAUCAAAGAAAGGAAUUUUUCUCUCUCAAAGGAAGUACACUUUGGACUUACUAAAAGAAACAGGUAAACUUGCUUCUAAACCCUUAGGGACUCCUGUUGAUAUUCAUCCUGACCUUAAAAAGGGCGAGUUGAUUGACAAUGUUGGAUUGUAUCAAAGGCUUGUUGGACGUUUGAUUUAUCUAACAAUCACUAGACCCGAUAUCUCUUAUGCUGUCAGCUUAGUUAGUAAAUUCAUGCAUUCUCCUCAAACAUCACACAUGAAUUCUGUGAAUAGAAUACUACGUUACUUAAAAUCUGAUCCAGGAAAAGGAAUUUUGAUGCGAAAGAAUGGCAAUUUAAAUAUUGUGGGCUACUCAGAUGCUGAUUGGGCAGGUUGUCCGAUUGAUAGGCAUUCUACUACAGGAUAUUGCACUCUACUUGGUGGUAACUUGGUAACCUGGAAAAGUAAAAAACAGAAUGUUGUUUCUCGUUCAAGUGCAGAAGCGGAAUACAGAGCCAUGGCAUCAACAGCUUGUGAGUUAGUAUGGUUGAAAGCUUUAUUGAAGGAUAUGGGAUUCAAUCAUGAUGGUCCGAUUCAGAUGAAAUGUGAUAAUCAAGCUGCUAUACAUAUUUCUACAAAUCCUGUUUUUCAUGAAAGAACAAAGCACAUCGAGGUAGACUGCCACUUUGUACGCGAAAAGGUACGAGCAAAAGUGAUUUCUACUCCAUACGUUGCUUCUGAAGAUCAAUUGGCUGAUAUGUUUACCAAGGCUAUUGGGAAAAAUCGGUUGUGAAACAACCGUUGUACUCUAAAAGCUUAAGCUGUUAGAGACCGGUGUUUAAACAUUUUUAUAUUUAACACUCCCCCUCACGUCUGGGCUCGAAACUUUUUAAUCGGCCCAUGACGUGGGCUUGAAUUAAAUGGGAGGAAAUUAAUAUGCUAGGAGUCUGGCAUGACUCGAACUCAGGACCUCCUGCUCUGAUACCAUGUGAAACAACCGUUGUACUCUAAAAAUUUAAGCUGUUAGAGACCGGUGUUUAAACAUUUUUAUAUUUAACAUAUUAUAUUUAUAUUAAUCGACGGUUCGAUUACAUCAACAAAAUAUAUUAGGAGAGAGCCACGUUUGCGUAUGAAGGCAAAAACUAAUAAGAUUUUGCUACAUAUUUGGUAAAAAUUUUGGAGACACCCAAUAUACCGUAAUCCGAUUUUAAAAUGUGCAUCAAAAAAUAAAUUUAUAUAAUACAAUAAAUUAUUUAGAUAUUUUAUAUAAAUUCAGCUAUUAUAGAGGACGGAUAACUUCGUUCUCCUCAAUUGUUUUAAAUGAUAAGAUUUUUGAAUCGACGAUUGUAAUUGUUAAAGUUAAUCUAAAGUAUUUAAAGUGCCAAUAAACAAAAUUUUACGAAUUUUAAAAAUUAUUUGCGUGGUGAUUAAAGGAUCAUAAAGUCGACAGUUUUAACAGUCUAUAUGAGCUGUUUACUUAUUUAACGAUGUAGAACAAUUCGAAUAGCUUGAAUUUUUUUACAGAAAAUUUUUUAUACUAUUUAAAUAAUAUUUUACAACUCUUAAAAAAAUUAAGAGCUUCUGCUGAGUCGGAAAGCUAAACUACAGAAACUGAAACUCCAAAAGGGACCGAUAGCAGAGUAGCUAUAUAUUUCUUUUCCUCAUCUAUUAUCUGCCAUACUCUCACUUGAGAAAAAUAAAUUCUUAAACCAUUUAGAGACAACAACCUUUUAUUUAUGAUACCUUUUGAUCCAUCUGAACUUUUUUUUGUAAUCCAUAUGAACUUUUUUCCAACUAUGGUGCUCUUUUUAUCGAGAGAUUGUAAAUUUUUUACUUUUAAUCAAAAGCCUUUCUUAGCUGCUAAGUUGAGGGUUUGAGUAAACGGUUCAUCCAGCAUUUGGUCAAAAGAUCUAGUUGAACAAUUUUUAAUUCCAGUCAUUCUCUCUUCUCUAACUUUUAAUUAUUUUAUUAUUUUUAUUGAUACAUUUUAUUAAAUGAGUAAAUAUAUUAAAUAUUUUAUUUUGAUAAUUAAUAUAUCGGGCUUUUGGGUCGGGCUCGGGCCGGACUUGGACAUACCCAAAUAGGCCCAAAUUUUAUUCGGGCCUAAAUUUUUAAGCCCGGUCUGAACCCAAAAUUAUAUUUUUAUACCCAAAGUCCGGCCCAAACAUGGCCCAUCCGGCCGGGCCUUGUUUAGGCCCGGGCCGAGUUCCACCCCUAUUCAGUCUCAGUCCUCUUCAUUUUAUCUAUAGUAAUACCUACGACUAGAGCGUUUGUGCCAUCCAUGCAAUAUAUAAUGGAAACCGUCAACCAAUAGAAGCCUGCCAAAUAUAUAAUAAAAAUUGCGGGUAACCCGCAUACCCACCCGCCCACCCGCGGGUGGGUAUGGGUAAAGAUUUUAACUAUCCAAAAAUUUGCGAGUAAAUUUUACCCAUACCCAAGUAAUCCGCGGGUACAAUAACCCGCCCGCGGGUUACCCAACCCGUCCGUUUGCCAGGCCUAGUAAUUAUAUUACUUAAGGAUUAACAUUGUUUAGUAAUUAUUUAUUAAAAUAUAAUAAUAAUAUCGCCAUAUCAUAAGCAAUAUUCUAAGUUAUACUCGGGUUACCGUAGCAGCACCCUUUUACGAGGAAUUCUACACUAUCGCACUUGCACCACGUCAUCAAUAACAAGCCAAUCACAUUCCUUCUUUUCAAACAAAAGUACAAUAAAAAUACUUUUUACAAUUAUGAUGGGACAUAUAUUCUUAAAAGGAUUAAUUUGAUUGGCUUGUUACGCCACGUCACUAAUAUACCCGCAUUCUAUAAUUUUUCCCCUUUUACAGUUUAUCUAACUUUAGGUCUAAUUUGGGUACGGCGGAUUCAAAUUAGGCUUUGCUUGAUUUUUUUUGUUUUUUAAAAAAAAUCCAAAAUAGCAGCAAUUACUGUAUUUAUACCGUGUCUCUAAUCAACUAAAUUGUUCUCUUCUCCGAGCGGCACCGGCAGCACGGGCACGGCCGUCAGGGGAACGGCAAGCGUGAGAGCGGCGGCGAACCUAUCAGAGAGGUCGACGUCGUCGGGCCGCAUCCCGCGCGGCAGCCGCCAAUCGAACGCGUGCAGGAUGGAGCCGAGCACGAGCGGCACCACCCGCACGGCGAGCGGCACCCCGGGGCACGCCCGCCGGCCGUAGCCGAACGGCAGGAACUCGA
rnacentral:lncRNA from 1 species